rnacentral:ncRNA from 2 species
UUCUGCCAAGGUGUUUCAGGUGCUUUGCCUGUGGUAAAAGGUUUAGCUUAAUAGGGAAUCCUGUGGAAUUCAGGAACGGGCCCGCCGCUGUAACUGGGGACAACUUCUGCAUUAUGUCACUGAACGUUUGUUUGGGAAGGCGCAGAAGAAGGAUGAUCCAGAAGUCAGAAGACCUGCCUGCAACAAGUUUUGGUA